rnacentral:tRNA from 1 species
GCGCUUUUAGUAUAAAUUAUGAUACGUUAAAGUUAGAGUUUAAAGAUUUUUUGUGCU